rnacentral:lncRNA from 1 species
GCGUGAACCACCGCACCUGGCCUAAUGUCCUAAAUUCUUCAGUGAAGUCCAGGAAGAGUGCUUCCAAAUCUAGUCUUCACAAGUGGGAGUUCAUCUCUUCAUUCUCCCAACUGUCUUGUUAGCAGAUGUUGAAUCAAAUUUCAUCAAGCACACACAUACACACACACACACACACACACACACCACACACACACACACACGCCUCUAUCCUAAUGACAGACACUAAUUCUCAGAGGCAGUGAAGUUUAAACUAGUGGUCAUUCCAGUUUUAUAGCUCACAAGUCAGAAACAUAAACAAACUAGUGGUCAUAAAGGAUAAUGUCUCCAGGGGCCAGACAGGUGACAACAAUCAGUGAAGGGAGCCUGUACUACUGGAAGCUCUGAUGAGCCCAAGGAUGCAGGCCCUACUGAAUAGGACAAUUUCUGCUCAUGUUAGCUGACUGUUUUCAGGUUGGAAUGAAGACUAGAUUGCCUGGAUUUUAAGACAAUCCAGAAAUCUGGAAUUUAAGUGCAAUUUCCCAAUUAAAGAAGUUUGUGAGUAAAAAUAUCUGUGAGUCAUAGCAGGACAUUAAGCCACCAGUUUUUAAGCCCUUGUCUAACCCAUAAUAAGGAAGAGAAAUAUGUUCUCAUUUGGUAAUACCUCCUCUCUCAUAAUGAAAUCUCUGUAAUAUUAUGCAGGCCUGUACCGUGCCUUUCCUUCAUCUCGCCAACUCUUUUCAAAUGGUCCUCUUCAUGCCUGCCUGGCAAAAGAAAGUGGCCUGUAGCUGAGCAGUAUGGUUUGGCAUGGUAGCACCUUUAGCCUUUACUUGUCACAAUGACUCACGGGUUUUUGUUUUAUUCAAUUAUCUUAUGAUACGUAGCCACCGUUGCUCUUGUUGAUGCUCAGGUCUUUCAGAUCUGGCCAGGGAUGCCCCUUGAAGCUGGAUCCGGUGUUCUCCACUGUUUUUGUUUGUUUGUUUUUAGCACCUCCAUGUUUUCUGAUACAAGAUGUUCAGCCUUGCCUUGUAAUUUUUCUGUCAAAUACCUGGAAUCAGCCACUUCUCUAAGAAGUUCAGGUUUUUAAAAUUAGAGAAUGGCAUUUAGAACUCAUGGUGUGGUGGCUGCGAUCAUUUGUACUAUAAUAUCAUUGCUUCUAUGCUCUUUCAGGGAACAGAUUUAUAGCUAUCAUCUCUCUAUCUAUCUUUCUGGAGCAAGAGGGAGGUCUUACUAGUAAUCUUUAAUUUAAUACAGCAAUGUGGUGUUCUUCCUUUGUUCUCAUUCCAUAUGUUUUCUCCCUUCUCUCUUAGUGAAUGAGAAUUAUUAUUCCCCCAAACAAUAUAUUUGCUUUAACAUUCCUUAGUCACAAAUAGUGCUGGAAUUACUACAUCAAUACCACGACCAUCAACACAUCUACAAAGCAAAGCACAAGAUUAUAUUCCAUUAAAAUUAUAUUCCACUAAAUUAUUAAAGUUCAAUUUGAUAUACAGUUAGGUCUUUUUUCUGUUGAUGUUGACGUUUAAGAUAUCUUUCCAUCCUUGCUGAUUAACUUUAUUUUCCAUGUGCAUUCUGUAGAGUUCCCCCUCUGAACUUCCUUGCACUCAACUUCCCUUCAUCUCACUCCCUCCUCAACCCCUCUUUCUUUUUCUGCCAGACUGAGUCCUUUAAACUUCUGAGCUUCCUUCUACCUCUCCCUUUCUUUGUUCGCUGUCCUUAUUGCAUUUCCCCAUAGGAGCCUAGUUCUGUUCUAGGGACUAGAUCUGUAUCAUGGAGUGAGCCAUGCCUCCAGCUCUCAUUUCAUGUGGAAGAGAUGCAGGGCCACAGCCAUCACAGCAGACUGGGGGGCACUCUGUAACAGGGAAGCACAGGACUGCUGGGAGAACAGAGGGGACACUUCUCACCCCAUGGUUGGGGAGGGGGGGGCUUGCACUCCUUAGCUGGCUCUCACGCUAUAGGAAGAAGAGAUAUUUCCUUGAGUUUUUCCUUUCAUGAAGCACCAUUAAUAAUACUGUCGCCAUAGAGUCGCUGAGAGGAUUAAAUGAGAUAGUACACGUUAAUUGCUUAGCACAGUGCCUGGCACAGGAAAGGAGUGUUGCACAGGUUGGGUAUUACUAUGUUAUUAGUUCUUCGAAUAAGCUUUCUACCCCUUGCUCUUGCUCAGCUCCCACUGUUUUGGUUUUUUUUUUUUUUUUUUUUUUUUUGAGACAGGGUCUCACUCUGUCAUGCAUGCUGGAGUGCAGUGGCAUGAUCACGGCUCACUGCAACCUUCAUCUCUCAGGCUCAAGCGGUCUUCUAGCCUCAGCCUCCUGAGUAGCUGGGACUACAGGUGCACAUCAUUGUGCCCAGCUAAUAUUUUUUUAAUUUUUAGUAGAGACGAGGUCUCACUAUGUUGUCCAGGCUGGUCUCGAACUCCUGGCCUCAAGCAGUCCUCCCACCUCUGCCUCCCAAAGUGCUGGGAUUGCAGGCAUGAGCCACAUGCUCGGCCUCAGCUCCCUCUUGAACACCAACAAUUCCUAGAUUUGGUCUUUUGAAUUACUUUUGUAGAUCUUAGAUUUGGUGUUUUGAGUUACUUUUGUAGAUCUUGUUGGCGGUCUUCAUUCCUUUCAGUUAUUUUUUUCCUUUUUUUCCCUCUGGCUGUAUUUUCAAAUAGCCAGUCUUCAAGCUCACUGAUACUUUCCUCUGUUUGGUUCCCUCUGCUGUUGAGAGUCUAUCGAGUUCAUCAGCAAAUGAACUUCAGCGAUUCAGCAAAUGAACUUCUCAGUUUCAAGAUUUGCUUGAUUUUUAAAAUUACUUUAAUAUUUUGUUAACUUUGAUAAGUUUCUGAAAUGCGCUUGUGUGCUAUCUCGGAGAUCACUGAGUUUCCUUAAAACUGCUAUUUUGAAUUCUUGGUCAGGGAGCUCACCAAUCGCCAUGUCGUUAGGCCCAGUCACUGGAUUUUUGCUUUGUCCUUUUGCGUAGGUCAUGGUCUCCUGCUUGCUGGUGUUUUUGUGGGUAUACGCCUGUGUCUUUGCAAUGAAGGAUUAUUUAUUCCAGUUUUCUCUGUCUGGCUUGUUUGGGUUUCUGUGGGACAUCCUUGCCUAGCGAAGCUUCGCGGCCAGGUCGCUUCCUCUUUUUUGGCUCUAGGUGGCGCCCUAAGCCCAGGUUCGCCUCGUCUCCAAUAAAAGGUGGGAGCACGGCCUGUCCCAAACAGGGGAGGUUUCAAAAGGGUUAUCCUGGCAGUGUGGGAAGGCUGGCUAGGGGUUUGCGCACAGGGCAUCAGAGGAACGUACCUUCUACAGCAUGGUGCUGCGGAACAGCCGCUCCAAUGCGGCGUCUCCUUUGGCCGAGUUACAGGGCAGAGUUUCCGGGCUGGGGUUGGCCCUCGCCUCCCUUUGUCUCCGACUGUGCUCAGGGAUGCCGCUCCCUUCAGUCACAGCCACACCUACUGCGGAGGGGCACACCUUUCAGGCCUAGCCCUCGGCCUGGAUGAAGGUGUGGCUGAGCAUCCCUGUUCCUGGAACUUGGCAUCAGCAUCACUGACAUCGGAAGCACAUGGACCCCCUCCCACUUCAACAAGCAUCAAACCCAUCUCUUCUCCUUGCUCUGGCCAGGUCAGACUGGAGCCAACUGUGCUGCAGCUCCUGUGGAAGCCUUGGCAGGGAGGUGAGGGGGAGCACCAGUUACAAGCAAAGGCUCCGAGUGCAAAGAGCCUUCGCUUAUGAUUCAGGAAUCUCUGGGCAAGUUACCUAAGGUAUCUGAGCCAGCAGUUCGUCAUCUGUGGAAUGGGGAGAAUGGCAACACUUCUCAUAGGGUUGAAGUAGGGAAUAAAAUGAUAUAAUGUGUAUUAAACCCUUAGAAAAGGGGCUGGCCUGGCAUAUAGUAAGCGCUUAAUAAAUGUCAUCUGUUGUCAUCAUCAUCUAACUUAAAAGAGUUUAGCGACAGUGUUCUUGAAUCUGCCCUUGUUUACAUACUACGGGUCACUUGUUUGGGAGUGGGAGAGGGAAUAAAAACUACUUUUAUUUAUAACUGUAAAUUGUGUGUAUGUAUUUUAUAUUUCAUAUAGGAAGUAAGUCAGGAAUAUGGGGCCUCUCUGAGCUAGGGCCAAGAUGUGGUGCAGCUGGGCAUACAAUCCAGCUGCCCCUCAGGAUGCUUUGCAGAGUCUACCCAGAUGCGCCAGGCUGCAGAAGCACCAUCAUCUGGUGUCCAUCUGCACAGCCAUAACUAGGGAAGAGGCAGAGCU